UUGACAGGCAGCAGCAGCAGCAGCAGCGCUCCCGGUGACGCAGGGAAGAGGCCGCAGUGACGUCACGUCCGGCGAAAGUGACGUGGAGGGGCCAUCAAAUACAGCAAAAAAGUCUGUCAUUAAUGAAGCGGCCGCUGACUCACUUGAGCUCUUCCUCCUCAAUGAAACCAUUGCCAUCGUUGUCCAGGAUCCCAAAAACCUUCUUCACAUCCUGUGGGCUCUUCUUGGUGAGGCCACACACCUGGAAGAACUUCUUGGGGCAGAAGGAGUCUGGGGCUGAAGGAGGAUAGAAAGUCAGGAACAGCAGGAGCUCAUUUUCAAUAUUUAGUAGUCAAGUUUUUUCACUAAGCUAGAAUGAAGACAAGUCUCUGGAAGAUCAGAUAGUUUAAAUUGCGGAGACAAGAUAACAUAUGUUGUUGGUAUGUUAGAUCAUCUUAAGGUAUUAUUAAGUGUGCUGUAAAUUUCCUAACUUUCUUUUCUUAGUAUGGAAAAUAUUCAUCCUCAAUGCUCCCUGUGGAAUAUUUUGUAUUUUAACACCUCCAAUGAUAAAACUAACAUGACUUGUCUGGACUUGUGCCUAAUUGAUGCUGUUAAAUCAUCAAUAAAGCCUUAACCAUACACUGUA